rnacentral:tRNA from 1 species
GAGGGCGUGGGGUAACAGCUAGCCUGUCGGUCUCCAAAACCGAAAGUCCAGGUUCGAAUCCUGGCGCCUUCGCCG